rnacentral:rRNA from 1 species
CAGUCGCCGCGGGAAUACGUAGGUCCCGAGCGUUGUCCGGAUUUAUUGGGCGUAAAGCGAGCGCAGGCGGUUAGAUAAGUCUGAAGUUAAAGGCUGUGGCUUAACCAUAGUACGCUUUGGAAACUGUUUAACUUGAGUGCAAGAGGGGAGAGUGGAAUUCCUUGUGUAGCGGUGAAAUGCGUAGAUAUAUGGAGGAACACCGGUGGUGAAAGCGGCUCUCUGGCUUGUAACUGACGCUGAGGCUCGAAAGCGUGGGGAGCAAACAGGAUUAGAUACCCGCGUAGUCCCUGUCUCUUAUACA